UUUCGGCUAUUUCUUGCUCUUGGGAGGUAUUGGAAUUUUAGGUGAGGCUCAGAGAAAAGGUGGGACUCUGAGAAGCCCCUGUGAGGUCAUCACCCAUGUUAGGAUGUCACUGUUUUUGGUGAUACUGCUGCCUUUGACUCCAUGAUCCUGUGAGUGACCCCUCACCCAUGCACCUACAAAGGGCUCGUCACUGAAGCUGGAGCAUGCCAAUUUUCAUCUAUGCUGUUACCCAGAACACCCCAGUGAUCAUCCUGAUUUCAGCCCUGCAGCUCUGGGGCUACAGCAGUGUGCACAGCACCUUCAAGCACUAUGAAGGCUAGCCAGUACCAACCAAACUUCCAGAUAAAAUGGAAUAUGCAGAUCAAAGAGGACAUCUAGGCUGGGGAGAUGCUCAGUUGGCAAAGUCAUACACAGAUAAACACAGAAGGAAACAUAACCGAAUCCAUGGAAGACAUUCUGUAGCCGUCCCAGCCUCAAGUGACCAAGACCACAGUUUACAAAGUGGACGCGGAAGCCCCGCUUCUCAGUGAAGACUCCCUCUACACACUGGAGAUGGCAUGUUCAGCCACCUCAGGACGGCAUUCUCAUGGAAACCCC